rnacentral:rRNA from 1 species
AUACGUAGGGUGCAAGCGUUAAUCGGAAUUACUGGGCGUAAAGCGUGCGCAGGCGGUUUUGUAAGACAGAGGUGAAAUCCCCGGGCUCAACCUGGGAACUGCCUUUGUGACUGCAAGGCUAGAGUACGGCAGAGGGGGAUGGAAUUCCGCGUGUAGCAGUGAAAUGCGUAGAUAUGCGGAGGAACACCGAUGGCGAAGGCAAUCCCCUGGGCCUGUACUGACGCUCAUGCACGAAAGCGUGGGGAGCAAACAGGAUUAGAUACCCUGGUAGUCCACGCCCUAAACGAUGUCAACUGGUUGUUGGGUCUUCAUUGACUCAGUAACGAAGCGAACGCGUGAAGUUGACCGCCUGGGGAGUACGGCCGCAAGGUUGAAACUCAAAUGAAUUGACGGGG